UACGUAGGGCGCAAGCGUUGUCCGGAAUUAUUGGGCGUAAAGAGCUCGUAGGCGGUUUGUCGCGUCGAAUGUGAAAACCCGGGGCUCAACCCCGGGCCUGCAUUCGAUACGGGCAGACUAGAGUUCGGUAGGGGAGUCUGGAAUUCCUGGUGUAGCGGUGAAAUGCGCAGAUAUCAGGAGGAACACCGGUGGCGAAGGCGGGACUCUGGGCCGAUACUGACGCUGAGGAGCGAAAGCCAGGGGAGCAAACGGG
rnacentral:rRNA from 1 species